rnacentral:rRNA from 1 species
GAUGAACGCUGGCGGCGUGCCUAAUACAUGCAAGUCGAGCGAACGGACGAGAAGCUUGCUUUUCUGAUGUUAGCGGCGGACGGGUGAGUAACACGUGGAUAACCUACCUAUAAGACUGGGAUAACUUCGGGAAACCGGAGCUAAUACCGGAUAAUAUUUUGAACCGCAUGGUUCAAAAGUGAAAGACGGUUUUGCUGUCACUUAUAGAUGGAUCCGCGUUGCAUUAGCUAGUUGGUAAGGUAACGGCUUACCAAGGCAACGAUGCAUAGCCGACCUGAGAGGGUGAUCGGCCACACUGGAACUGAGACACGGUCCAGACUCCUACGGGAGGCAGCAGUAGGGAAUCUUCCGCAAUGGGCGAAAGCCUGACGGAGCAACGCCGCGUGAGUGAUGAAGGUCUUCGGAUCGUAAAACUCUGUUAUUAGGGAAGAACAUAUGUGUAAGUAACUGUGCACAUCUUGACGGUACCUAAUCAGAAAGCCACGGCUAACUACGUG